rnacentral:rRNA from 1 species
AUGAACGCUGGCGGCGUGCCUAAUACAUGCAAGUCGAGCGAACAGACGAGGAGCUUGCUCCUCUGACGUUAGCGGCGGACGGGUGAGUAACACGUGGAUAACCUACCUAUAAGACUGGGAUAACUUCGGGAAACCGGAGCUAAUACCGGAUAAUAUAUUGAACCGCAUGGUUCAAUAGUGAAAGACGGUUUUGCUGUCACUUAUAGAUGGAUCCGCGCCGCAUUAGCUAGUUGGUAAGGUAACGGCUUACCAAGGCAACGAUGCGUAGCCGACCUGAGAGGGUGAUCGGCCACACUGGAACUGAGACACGGUCCAGACUCCUACGGGAGGCAGCAGUAGGGAAUCUUCCGCAAAGGGCGAAAGCCUGACGGAGCAACGCCGCGUGAGUGAUGAAGGUCUUCGGAUCGUAAAACUCUGUUAUUAGGGAAGAACAAAUGUGUAAGUAACCAUGCACGUCUUGACGGUACCUAAUCAGAAAGCCACGGCUAACUACGUG